rnacentral:rRNA from 1 species
CAGUCGCCGCGGGAAUACGUAGGUGGCAAGCGUUGUCCGGAAUUAUUGGGCGUAAAGCGCGCGCAGGCGGAUCAGUCAGUCUGCCUUAAAAGUUCGGGGCUUAACCCCGUGAUGGGAUGGAAACUGCUGAUCUAGAGUAUCGGAGAGGAAAGUGGAAUUCCUAGUGUAGCGGUGAAAUGCGUAGAUAUUAGGUAGAACACCAGUGGCGAAGGCGACUUUCUGGACGAAAACUGACGCUGAGGCGCGAAAGCCAGGGGAGCGAACGGGAUUAGAUACCCGGGUAGUCCCUGUCUCUUAUACA